AUUGAACGCUGGCGGCAUGCUUUACACAUGCAAGUCGAACGGCAGCACGGGCUUCGGCCUGGUGGCGAGUGGCGAACGGGUGAGUAAUGCAUCGGAACGUACCGUGUAGUGGGGGGAUAACGUAGCGAAAGUUACGCUAAUACCGCAUACGCCCUGAGGGGGAAAUGGGGGACCGUAAGGCCUCACGCUAUAUGAGCGGCCGAUGUCGGAUUAGCUAGUUGGUAGGGUAAAGGCCUACCAAGGCGACGAUCCGUAGCGGGUCUGAGAGGAUGAUCCGCCACACUGGGACUGAGACACGGCCCAGACUCCUACGGGAGGCAGCAGUGGGGAAUUCUGGACAAUGGGCGCAAGCCUGAUCCAGCCAUGCCGCGUGAGUGAAGAAGGCCUUCGGUGUAAGACUCUUUCAGACGGAAGAAAGUACUACUCAGGAUAAUACCUUA
rnacentral:rRNA from 1 species